UACGUAGGGUGCAAGCGUUGUCCGGAAUUAUUGGGCGUAAAGAGCUCGUAGGCGGUCUGUCGCGUCUGCUGUGAAAACUCAGGGCUUAACCCUGAGCUUGCAGUGGGUACGGGCAGACUAGAGUGCGGUAGGGGAGACUGGAAUUCCUGGUGUAGCGGUGAAAUGCGCAGAUAUCAGGAGGAACACCGGUGGCGAAGGCGGCCUUCUGGGCCUGUUCUGACGCUGGAGGAAGCGAAAGCGUGGGGAGCAAACAGG
rnacentral:rRNA from 1 species